AGACUUUCUCCUCUCGUGAGCUGAGAGAGUAAAAAGACAGAUCCGGAUCUCAUUCCACGCUCCUCCAUCUCCAAUUUAAGAUUCCUACCUCUUCUCGUCUGUACUCAUACAGCUCGUACAAGUGAAGACACGCACAAGGAAGACAUACCUGCAUUAUAUGCACCUUAGACGAUAGAUCUCUGCAUUCUUCAAUAAGUGCUCUUUCCCUGGCAACUACCCUGACAAGUUCUGAAAUCACAUGAUCCACUCUUACUGCCUGUGUUCAUAGAAACUCUAAGUCGAACUAGAUAUCCAAGCCAACCCAAAAUAGUUAGGACAAGACUACGGUGAUGGGUUCAAAAUAGAUCCCCAACUGCCCAAAUAGAAAAAGGUAGCUGAGGUUUCAUCAGAAUUAAGAUAUUCCACAAGAUAUUGGACUGCAACAUAUGCA